UCCAUACACGCUGGGCUGCUGCAUUUACUGGUGCCAACGGAGGAAGAGAGCGCCCCUGACUGACAGUCAGAAUGCAUGCUGUCCGUCCGCUCCAUACUCCAUGUGCGCUCCUCUGGCCUGACAGGCAGGAACAACACGAAGUGAAGAAUACUAAUGUGAGAAAUAUGAAUCAGUCAGGGUCAGAAGAGUCAGUACCGGUGACUGGAAGCAUGAGAAGCUGUGGAGGUAUGGUGGGAUUGUGACGACAUUCGGCUGCCCGAGAAAUUGCCUGAUGUCUCUGUUCCGUGUCGUACUACUCGCUCCGUUGCUGGGACAUUCUUAGAUAUAUACUGCAAUAAAAAUAGAGUAGCAUGUGAUUAUGCCGAUUUCACACUUGUGUCCUAACCUGAAUACAUUUGAAGAAUUCUUAGUCAUCAAUGUACAACAGGAAACAGUUUACCAUAAAUAUAUAAUCAAGAACUUAGCAAUUUACUUCUGAACUGCAGUAACAUUCAGAAGAAACAUAA